AUGGGUAUUAUGGUAAAAAUCACUAAAAACAAUUUCCUAUCUUUCCCUUAUCCCCCUGUGCUGACCUGGUCACCCCAAAUGGGGCUGUGUUUACAGGUGUCAGUGUCCUUUGAGGACAUGACCGUGGACUUCAGAAGAGAGGAGUGGCAGCACCUGGACUCUGCUCAGAGGUUCCUGUACCAGGACAUGACGCUGAAAACUACAGCCACCUCCUCUCACUGGAAACCAGUAUUCAUGUCAAUUGUUUUAUGGCCGGGGGAUGACACACCUUGGUCCAUCCUAUCUCAAAAUGCAUAUUGUGGGAGAGGGGCCUGGUGAAACUCCCUCAGCCUUGAGGUGUCAUCUCUUAUCUGAUUAAUAAGCUUGCUAACAGACAUAAAACACCUUGCCAGAAACUAGCAAGGGGGCAUUCUUUCUGCCCCCUUUCUGAUGUCCAUGUCAGCAGCUUUCUCUCUCUCCUCUCUCCUCUCUCUCUCUCUCUCUUAUAUUUUAAUAAAAUUCUGUUACCCAAAAGGUUCCA
rnacentral:lncRNA from 1 species